rnacentral:rRNA from 1 species
UACGGGGGGAGCAAGCGUUGUUCGGAUUUACUGGGCGUAAAGGGCGCGUAGGCGGCCACCGCAAGUCGGUUGUGAAAUCUCUGGGCUUAACCCAGAAAGGUCAACCGAUACUGCGGGGCUAGAGUGCAGAAGGGGCAACUGGAAUUCUCGGUGUAGCGGUGAAAUGCGUAGAUAUCGAGAGGAACACCUGCGGCGAAAGCGAGGUCCUGGACGUCUACUGACGCUGAGACGCGAAAGCUAGGGGAGCAAACGGG